GAAGAAAGCGGGCGGCGUGCUUAACGCAUGCAAGUCGAACGGUAAGGCCCCAGCUUGCUGGGGUACACGAGUGGCGAACGGGUGAGUAACACGUGGGUGACCUGCCCCGCACUUCGGGAUAAGCCUGGGAAACUGGGUCUAAUACCGGAUAGGACCGCACCGUGAGGGUGUGGUGGAAAGUUUUUCGGUGUGGGAUGGGCCCGCGGCCUAUCAGCUUGUUGGUGGGGUAAUGGCCUACCAAGGCGGCGACGGGUAGCCGGCCUGAGAGGGUGGACGGCCACAUUGGGACUGAGACACGGCCCAGACUCCUACGGGAGGCAGCAGUGGGGAAUAUUGCACAAUGGGCGGAAGCCUGAUGCAGCGACGCCGCGUGGGGGAUGACGGCCUUCGGGUUGUAAACUCCUUUCACCAUCGACGAAGGUUUUCUGACGGUAGAUGGAGAAGAAGUACCGGCUAACUACGUG
rnacentral:rRNA from 1 species